rnacentral:rRNA from 1 species
AACGUAGGGGGCCAGCGUUGCUCGGAAUUACUGGGCGUAAAGGGUCCGUAGGCGGUGUGGCAAGUCGGAAGUGAAAUCUCUGGGCUUAACUCAGAGGCUGCUUCCGAAACUGCUGUGCUAGAGUGUGAGAGAGGCGAGUGGAAUUGCGGGUGUAGCGGUGAAAUGCGUAGAUAUCAAGUGGAACACCAGUGGCGAAGGCGAGUCCCUGGACAAUUCCUGACACUGAGGCACGAAAGCUAGGGGAGCAAACAGG